rnacentral:lncRNA from 1 species
UAUCAUGAUCAGUGGAUGUAUCGAUCGACCAUCCCAAGAAAAAGGAUAUACGUACUCUGCAUAUGUGCAUGCCAACAACUAUAAAAGGAGACCAUGAGGCAAUGAGUUGAUCAUCAAAGCAAACACACAGAAAUCCCAACUAAAAAUCAAUCAGUGAGACAAUGGCUGGAACCAAUGAUAUUAAAAUUAAAGGGUUUGAUUUGAGCAACAACAAAGGCAACACGUCGGGAUUAACCCACUUCGCCAACAGAGCUGCCGAGGGCGACAAGGGCGACAAUAAAAUCGAGGUUGAGGAUGCUAAAGGGCAAGGGAACACGGGAAACUUGAAAGUACUGACCGACUUCGCCCAACGCGGUAAAGUGGGCCAGUCGGAUCGCCAAGAACUACUCAAACCUCAGGCAUGAAAUUGAAGAAGGCCAGACCACAACAACUUGUCUGCUUGAUAGAUAUAUGUGCUAAAUUAUCUACACAAAAAUAAGAGCUGAUGUUUUAUCUGAGGCUCCUUCCUUGGUUAGGCCUCGUUAUCAUGUGUAAUAUUAAUAUUAUUAUUCUAAUAAAAUAAUGGUAGCUUAUUAUUAAAUAUAUCAGAAUUCUAUACGUAUAACUUUUAGAUUAUUGAUACUGAUGUCAACAAGAGAAAAUGAUUAAAAAUUCCUUUCUCCAAUUCGUGAUGUUAGACAAGAAGCAAACAAAUUUAGGAUAAUGGAUUUUAAAAGUUUGGUGACAAAUGAUGGUAAAGAAGAAUUUAGCCACUACUACAAAAAGUGAAAAAGACGACCAGAAAACAACGACGGUCUAAGUGAAAACCGUCGUGGUUUAUAAAAAGACGACGGUUCUAAAAACACCGUCGUGUAAUACAACCUUAGACAACUAAAAAAUGGAGUUUCAAAUGGCUGUUCAAAAACAACGACGUACAUAAUUAAACAACCGACGUCUAUUUGAAACAGAUUUCCUCAGUGUAAAAUCAAUGCCAACAAAGAACGGCAGAAGUUAUGAAUCGACCGACGUAGAAAGUAAAGACGACGAUUUCAAUAAAAACUGCCGUUUUUACUCAUAAAAUAACACGACGAGGUUUUCGUAUAAGACGCCGUAUAAUUACAAACAAAUCCACGGCUUUAAAAUACAAAAUAUCGCCGUAUUAAAUUAAUUUACAACGACGGAAAAUAUAAAUAUAUCGACGUCAUUCUCGUAUAGUUCUACUACGUUAUCUUUAAAUCGUACAAUAAAAUUUAUCGUCGUAUUUAUUCAUUUUAUACGUCGUACCUUUAAUUUUAACGGUCGUCUUAAUAAGAAUUUUUGUUAACAAUUUUUUUCUUUGAUUUUCUUAUCCUACGUCGGUAGAUCUACUUAAUGACAAGAAUUGAAAUAACCACGACGGUUUAUAUAGAACACCGCCGACAUAAUCAGUUUUGUCUGAGAUCCCAAGGGUUACGAAAUCUUACCAGAUGGAACUCUGUUCCACAUCAUAAUCUUAACAGAUGACACAGAUUUGCAAAUAUUGCGUCGUGUUAGUUUACAAAUUCUAGAACAUUAAUUUCCCUCAUUUUAAAUUUCCUCGGGAAAGAAAAAUCUAUUUAUCACGCUUUGGAAUUGAAAACUAAAACUGAAAGAAUACGGGAAAAAAAACUCCAUUUAUAAUUUAAAAUUAAAAUCCACGUCGGUUGUAGUACACUUAACGACGUUUAACAAAAUAAUCUACGUCGGUAAUUAUAAAUCUACCGCCAUCGUAACUUAAUAUAGACGACGAGAAAAGACGACGGUAGAACAGAAAACCGCCGUUGUUUCAGUUUCUUUAACAUAUCUUUCUGCAGGACUUGUGUAGUUCAAAGCAUUGACAAUGUCUUCAUCAUAUCUCCCAGAAACUACUGAUUCAAUUGCUCAUGCUUUAGAGGCCAUCUGAAGCCAUUUCUAUUCUUUAUCGCAUUCUUGAAACCCAUCUUCUUCUUCUGAAGCUCUACGGAUAAAGGAAGAGGCUAUCACAAUAAAUCCGACGGAUCUUCUUAGGCAAGAAAAUCAAGCAGAGGAUCAGGCACAUCUGAUCUUCAGAUUUCCCUGAGAAGCGAACUUUCCUUCGACAGCGAGUGGAGGCCAGGCUUGCAUCUCUUUUGAUGGAAAGCAAGGAGUAUUCAGAAGCACUAAGUGUCCUAUCAGGCUUGAUCAAGGAAGUGAGAAGGCUAGUUGACAAGCUUCUUCUUGUGGACAUAUAUUUGAUGCGAGUAAGCUCAAUUUCUCUUUGAGAAAACAUCCAAAUUAUUAUCUUUGAGACAUGAGAGACUGAGAGAGGAAGAACUUGGAACCUUAAAUGUAAACCGAAAAUGAAUGAAAGCGACAAAUUUAUAGAAUAAAUUUUUAAAACCAACGGCGGUCCUUACAAACAAACCGCCGUUUAAAUUGUAAAAUCAACGUCGGUAUGAUCGACGUAUAUUACAGAAAUCCACGUCGGUAAAUUAAUAAAAACGACGUGUUAAAUAAUAUACCAUGACGCGAGUUAUUACUUAUGUACUUUAAUUUUUGAGUUUACUACGACGGUACCUACAAACUACUGUCGUAUUUAUUUACCACGUCCGAAGUUAAAUGUACCGUCGUAUUUUGUAAUUUAUACGUCGUAGUUAUAUGUAACCGCCAUAUUAUUUUUUUGAAAUGGUUUUAUAUGUAAGCAACUUUUCGUCUACUUGACUUACACAUUUGUUGUUUUUAUAUUCUUAUUUUAUUUAAAUCUGUCAUCCAAAAAAGAAACUUUACAUAUUGCAGAAUAUUAAUUUCCUUCGUUUUAAAUUUCCUCCGGAAAAAAAACUCUAUUUAUAACGCACUGUAAUUGAAAAAUAAACUGAAAGGUCACGGGAAAAAAAAUUCUAUUCAUAAUUUAAAAAUUAAAAUCCACGUCGGUUAUAUUAAACCUAACGACGUUAAAUGAAAUGAUUCCACGUCGAAUGAAAAAUAUUGCGUCGUUUUAGUUAAAAACGACGUAGUUAAAUGUAACCGCCGUAUUAUUUUUUUGAAAUGGUUUUAUAUGUAAGCAACUUUUCGACUUACACAUGCACUGUUUCCAAACCCGAUUAAAAAUUUCAAUCUCCCAGAGAAACCUUUUCGUCUUUUUUCCUUGUCAGAGCAUUGUCAGAGUUUUUCAUCGUCUUCCUCUCGUCUUCUUCGUCGUCUCUGAACUUAAACAUCGAUCAUCUUCCUCUUGCUUUCAUUGCACGCAAAAGGUAAGCUUUCAUUUUCACUAUUUUGGUUACUGUUUUGCAUGCUCAUACGUUUUUUGUUUGAAAAAUCUUUUUACCUUUUUUCUGGCCAAAAUCAUUUUACUUCUUUCCAAGUUUGAUAAAAUAUACAGACAAAGAGAGAAAGUUUCCAACUUUGAAGACAACUACAUCAACUAAAUAAGACGACGGUAGACCACGACGGUUCGUCAGUUGUUCUAGCGUCGUCUGAAAAUUGACAAAGUUGUUUUUAAAAUAAUAGUCUUUUUUUAUAUGCUUGUUUAAUUGCAGGUUUGAUUUCGCUGAACAAUGGUUUUUGUUUUUCCCUUAUUUGAUAAAAUAUAAAGAAAAAGAAACUAGGGUUGGUAUCUAAUAUAGACGAUAAAAUAUAAAUAAUAGUUUACCACGACGGUGUAUUACUAUUGACGUCGUGUGAACAUAUAUACCACGACGUUAUAUAAAUAAUGGUUUUAAACAUUUAUUACGUCUGAGAUUAUUUCAUUGCGUCGUCUAAAAUCAUAUCAUACGUCGUAUUUUUUUAAUACCGUCGUUUGUGUUCUUAAUGUUUUCCUGAAAUAUUUUCACUUGCAGUUUUGUCUGUUAAAAUGGUUUCUCAACAACAAACUAAGGAUUCUGGCUCCAAGAAGCUUGGAAUGGUAGCUCCUCAAGAUAAGUCUUCGAAGGAGAUGAAGUCUUCGAAGAAGAUGAAGUUUGCUUCAUCAUCUGCUGAGACAGAACAAACCAGCCAGACAACAAUCUCAGAUGAUUCAAAGACUGGUCGAGGUAUGAGCACAAUGCCUCGUGUUGUGAAGAGAAAGCUUCAGAAACUGAGGCCAAUUGUUGAGUACAAUAAAAGGGGGAAAGGUGUUGGCCAAGCACAUAUUGAGAUGCAGUCGUAUAUUGGUGUGUUGGCACGCUCCAGGAUCCCACUUGUGGACAAGAAAUGGUCCCAAAUCCCCAAGGAUAUAAAGGAGCAGAUUUGGGAAGCAGUUGACAUGGCUUUUGUCGUAGGCCAAGGGGGCAAGACCUCUGUUUUAGCUUCUGCUUCCAAGAAAUGGAAGGAUUUCAAGUCUACACUAACGAGGCAUUAUAUCCUUCCAUACACCAAUGACAGGGAGAAAUUAAGCCAACCCCCUGAAACAUAUAAAUUCAUAGAGAAAGCACAAUGGGAUGCCUUUGUAGCUUCAAGGCUAUCCAAAGAUUUUGAGUCUGUGCAUUCUCAACAUGCACAGAUUAGGGAGAAACUCGAGUACAAUCAUCGAUUGUCUCGAAAAGGAUAUGCUGGAUUGGAGGAUCAAUUGGAGGAAACCAUGCCUGGGGUAGAAAUUGAUCGAUCUACCUUAUGGAAGAGAGCUAGACAGGACAAACAUGGUAACAUCCCUGAUCCAAAGGUGGCAGAGAAAGCAAAAUUAAUUGUAAGCCUACUAUCACUCUGUUUUAAAUUUUUAUUAAACUGUGAAUUAUUCUUAUUACGUCGUAUGUUAUAUUUUUCGUCGUGUGAAUGAUAUUACCACGUCGAAAAGUUUUUAAAAACGUCGUUAAAGGUCUAAAUAGGAAUCACUACUAUGUUUUCUGUAAUUACAGCAUAAGACGUCGGUGGUUCAUUUUCGCGUCGUGUGAAUGAUAUUACCACGUCGAAAAUUUUUUAAAAACGUCGUUAACGGUCUAAAUAGGAAUCACUACUCUGUUAUCUUUAAUUAUAGCAUAAGACGUCGGUUGUUUAUUCAUUUCGUCGUUUUAAAUAAAUAACCACGUCGGUAUAACUACCGUCGUGAUAAGUUAUAAUAACGUCGGUUUAUACGUUAUUGCGUCGUGUGAAAUUAUAUAAUACGUCGUUUGUACAUAAAUAACCGUCGUGUGUUUUUUUGUUUAUCUUUUUUUAGGAUGAAUUGCAGAAACAAGUCUCGGAAGGCAAAGUCAGAGUAGAUGGCAGCAAUGAUGUGCUGACCAUGGCUUUGGGCCCCGAGCAUCCAGGCAGACUGAGGGGAGUUGGUGCUGGUGUUUCCCCAAGGCAAUAUUUCAAUUUGCCCAAACCACAGAGGGUGAGCUUUGACGACCGUUUGAAGGACAGUUUAAGAGUUCUCCUUCAAGAAGAGACUAAAAAGAUGGAGGCUAAGGCAAGGGAAGAGGCCUUAAGGAUGGAGGCUAGGACAAAACAAUUGGUAGAGGCUGAGAGGGAGCAUUUCCUGAGUCAGCUUUCCCAAUUAAUUCCCAAUUUUGAUCCAAGCAUGCUUAAACCAAGAAUUAGCCAAAGCCCCAAAAAUCCAAUGUCUGACAAAGCUAGCUGCUCUGGAGGUGAUGUGAGAUCCCUACAUUUGGAGGAUGAUACUGCCAAAAUGGGGAAACAUCAGCCAGAUGAAGAGAAGGAAGAAGAAAAAAGAGAUGAAGAGAAGGAAGAAGAAAAGGAGAAAGAAGAUGAAGAAAAGCAUGACGACAAGGUAUGUUCACAUAACUUUGCCUUUUUUAUUUGUUUUUCAAAAUUUCAGACGUCGAUAUUUUUAUUUAAUCCGUCGUUUGUUUAAAACUUAGACGGCGGAAUUUUUUUAAGACGUAAUAAAAUAUUUAAACGACGGUUUUUGCACCGUCGUUUAAAUGGUUUCAGACGACGCUUUAUUCAUAAAACCGUCGUCUUUAUUGAAUUACCACGACAGUUUUUUCACCGUCGUUUAAAUACUUUUAAGACGACGUUUUAUUACUUAAACCGUCGUCUUUAUUGAAUUACCACGUCAUUUUUUUUAUUUCUUUAAACAGGUUAUUGAAGUUGGUGCUUAUUCAAAAAUGGAGGCGCCAUCUUCUUUAAAAACCCUUUGUCGUUUUGUGGAAACGACACUCCUGCCUGAGGAUAAGACACUCCAAUUUACAAUUGAUAAGGAGGUGUUUGGUGGUGAGCGCGAUACCUUCCUCCUGCCUGAAGAUAUUACACAAUUUGCAGGCAUGGAAGAAAUUGGAGCUACUGUAUUGGCUGUAUAUAUGAGGUUUGUACUUCUAAAAUAAUACCUCGUUGGUUUAUAUAUUGCGUCGUCUUAACUAACUAACCACGUCGUCUUAACUAACUACCGUCGUGAUAAAUAUAUUAUAACGUCCUCAUCUAUUUCAGUACGUCGUGUGAAAUAUUAUAAUACGUCGUUUUUUUAUACAUAACCGUCGUGUUUGUUUGUGCUGACUUGUUUAUAUUAUUUUAUGUAUUUAGGUACUUACACGAUGUUUUGAAACAAGCCAAUAUGUGCAGCAUGGUUGGCUUUAUUGACCCUGCUACAGUUAGUGCCAACUCUGGCACAAUAACUGAAAGAUCACGACUGGUAGCAGCUCGACUUCAGAAGACAGACGGUGAACAGCUUUUCAUGAUGCCUUACAAUCCAGGGUUAGUCUCCUUAGGAUUUUGUUUUUAUGAUUUUCAAUAAAUGACAGCUUAUAAACUAACCACGUCGGUGUUUUAUUUUAUUUAGUCGUUUGAAACUACUAACCACGUCGGUAUUUAUUUGUCGUCGUGAUAAAUAUAUAAUGUUGUCGUUAUCUACUUUAUUUCGUCGUGUGAAAUACUAUAAUACGUCGUUUUUGUAAAUAACCGUCGUUUUUAUAUUAAUUUUGUGCAGCCGUCAUUGGAUCCUGCUGAUUGUAAGAGCAAAGAAGGAGACCGUCUAUUUUCUGGAUCCUCUGCCAGGUCAUCGUGUGGUCGACGAAGAGGCGAAAAACAUCGUGAACAGUGCUUUAAAAAUAUAUAAUACCCACAUAGGCCGAGCAGGACGUAAAAAUGUAAUUUGAAAAACUCUCUCAGGCACACCAAAGCAACCCAGCAAUGUCGAAUGCGGGUAUUAUGUGAUGCGCUUCAUGAGGGACAUCAUCAUGGAUCCUUCCUUGGGGUUUGAGAAUAAGGUAAGAAGAAAUUACCUUCAUACAUUUCACGUCGUUUUUUGUAUUAUCAACGACGGUCAUGUAAAAUUAACGUCGUUGAAUGGAUAUACUACGUCGGUUAUGAAAAAUAUCGUCGUCUGUGAUUGAAUUUCUUUUUAUUUAUAAACCCUAAUAGUCAUUGUUUAUGCAGUAUGCCAAGGGAAACCAGGAAGCUUCAUACCCCCAAGAAGCCAUUGAUGAAGUCCGGAAUGAAUGGGCAGAGUUUGUUUUCCAAAUUAUUAAACAGGGCAAUUAUUGAACACUUGAUAUUUAUGUAUAAUGUACCAAUUUUCUCUAUAAUAUGUAAUGUAAAAAUUUGUUGAGGUUUUCUUAAAUUAAAAAAAAAACAAACAUACAAAUUGCUUAACCGACGUGUAAUACUUUUCCAACGACCUAAUAAAGUCACAAACCGUCGUAUUUUGUUGUUUCGUGUUUUAAACAAUUACGACGUAAAAAAAUAGUUAGACGACGUUCUUUGAACAAUUGAGUCGUUAAUGGUUUACAAUAUCUUCAAUUUCUUAAGGGUUCAGGGUAUAAUCGACGACGUUUAUGUAACGACUGCGGUUAAGUCGUAAAAUAUAUAUUUUACGUCGUAUAGUUAAAUAGCCGCCAUGGUUUUUCAUUUUAACGACGUCAUUUUAACGACUUAGUAGUCUAUUACAAUUUACAACGUCUACAAUUUAUUAACACCGACGUGGUUUGUUGUUGUGGUAAGAAUAUUUUAUUAUUUUUAUAUCAAAAUAUUCAAAAUAAAUUUAAAAUAAAUCAGAAAAUUGAAAAGUCAACUCCUAUGAAGUCAUUGAUAUAUUUUCUUCCACAUAAACCUUGAAAAAAUUCAUUUUGAAUAACAAAAAUUUAAAAUGACCAUCCAAAACAAAAUUGUUUUGAUGACUCAUAAAAUCACUUCUAGUUUUAUGGUUUAGGGUUUAGAGUCUAGGGUUUAGAGAUUAGGGUUGUUAUUUAUUGGGGUUUAUUUUUAAAGUAUAAUUUUUGGGUAGUCUAGGGUAUAUGUUAGGCUUUAAAACCAUAAAACCUUUUAUAAACUUAAUUUUUUAAAUUGUAUAAUUUAAUUUUAUGGGUUUAGGGUAUUAAUUUUUAACGACGGUGGUUGGGUCGUGGAAUACAUAUUUUACGUCGUACAGUAAAACAUACGACAUGGUUUACGCUUUAAACGACGUCAUUUUAAUAUGUAAGUCGGUUUAUAUAAUUUACAACGUCAACGUCUUUAAUUUCUUAACACCGACGUGGUUUUUCAGUCGUCGUUAUAUAAAAAAUUCAAAAUAAAUUUAAAAUUAAUCCGAAAAAUGAACGGCCUUACGUUCUUAAUCCGAAAAAUGAAGUUUCCGUCGUGGAAUAUUAAAUUUACGUCGGUACUUGUAGAACUUUCGCCUUGGUUUUUCUUUCGACGUUUUAAAACGCGCGCGCUCUAAAAAUUUUCGCGCGACCUAAACUUUUUUAGAUUUGGCUCUUAUUCUUAUACUUCGAACCCUGAAACCUAAAANNNNNNNNNNNNNNNNNNNNNNNNNNNNNNNNNNNNNNNNNNNNNNNNNNNNNNNNNNNNNNNNNNNNNNNNNNNNNNNNNNNNNNNNNNNNNNNNNNNNNNNNNNNNNNNNNNNNNNNNNNNNNNNNNNNNNNNNNNNNNNNNNNNNNNNNNNNNNNNNNNNNNNNNNNNNNNNNNNNNNNNNNNNNNNNNNNNNNNNNNNNNNNNNNNNNNNNNNNNNNNNNNNNNNNNNNNNNNNNNNNNNNNNNNNNNNNNNNNNNNNNNNNNNNNNNNNNNNNNNNNNNNNNNNNNNNNNNNNNNNNNNNNNNNNNNNNNNNNNNNNNNNNNNNNNNNNNNNNNNNNNNNNNNNNNNNNNNNNNNNNNNNNNNNNNNNNNNNNNNNNNNNNNNNNNNNNNNNNNNNNNNNNNNNNNNNNNNNNNNNNNNNNNNNNNNNNNNNNNNNNNNNNNNNNNNNNNNNNNNNNNNNNNNNNNNNNNNNNNNNNNNNNNNNNNNNNNNNNNNNNNNNNNNNNNNNNNNNNNNNNNNNNNNNNNNNNNNNNNNNNNNNNNNNNNNNNNNNNNNNNNNNNNNNNNNNNNNNNNNNNNNNNNNNNNNNNNNNNNNNNCUGUUUUUGUUUAAAACCCGUCGUCUCAUGUUGUUUAUACCUUGCGAUUAGAUCAUGUAUAAUCUGCUAUAGUGAUGGUCAUGCCUGUAUUUUCACUUUUAUAUAGAUAAUAGGUUAUAGUGUCGGAGAUGGAUAAGUCAUGGAUGCACUCGGAUAGAAGAUCGAAGGCAUAUGAGUUUGGGGUGGAAGCAUUUUUGAACUUUGCUGUAGAAAAUCUUCUAACUACAACACAUAUCCGUUGUCCAUGUGUUAAAUGUGUUAAUUUGAAGUUGUUUGGGGUUGGAAUUAUAAGGGAUCACUUAUACUUUAAUGGAAUUGACCAAAGCUAUAAGAAUUGGACAUUUCACGGAGAACCUUGGGAAGCAACUACUAAUGCUAGCAGAAAUGUUGAAGAAGAUGAUGGCCAUAGUAGGUACAGUUUUGUGUCUGAAGAAAUUGAUAUGGAUGAUAAUGAUUUUGGUGAUUUUGGUUCGGAUCCGUAUGAGUUUGCCAAUGUGAUUGGGGAUGGAGAUCAACCAGUGUACCCUGGUUGUAGAAAGUACACGAAGUUAUCGGCAUUAGUGAAGUUGUAUAAUUUGAAGGCAAAACAUGGGAUGAGUGAUGUCUGUUUUACAGAAUUAUUGAUACUUCAAGGCGAUUUGCUUCCAGAAGGAAAUACAAUACCAACCUCCAUGUAUGAGGCUAAAAAGACUUUGUGUGCAUUGGGGCUGAGUUAUGAGAAAAUGCACGCAUGCCCCAAUGAUUGCAUCUUGUAUAGGAAGGAGUAUGAGGAUUCAACUAAUUGUCCUACUUGUGGUAUCUCAAGGUGGAAGGAAGGCAAAGAUGCAAUCUUGAAAGAGGGUGUGCCAGCGAAGGUGGUGUGGUAUUUUCCCCCAAUUCCAAGGUUUAAAAGGAUGUUUCAAUCACAUGAGACAGCUAAGAGUUUGACUUGGUGGCAUGUUGCUAGAAAAUCAAUUGACGGUCAGAUGUCUCAUCCGGCGGAUUCCCCGUCUUGGAAACUUCUUGAUGAUAAAUGGCCUGAGUUUGGUAAUGAGCCGAGAAACUUGAGAUUGGCUCUUUCAUCUGAUGGAUUCAAUCCCCACAGUUCUCUAAGUAGCAGAUAUAGUUGUUGGCCGGUUAUCUUAGUUACAUAUAAUCUCCCUCCAUGGCUGUGCAUGAAACGAAAGUUCAUGAUGUUAACCUUAUUGAUUUCCGAUCCUAAACAACCCGGAAAUGAUAUAGACGUCUACUUGGAGCCUUUGAUUGAUGAUUUAAAAUCCUUGUGGGUUGGGAUUAGAGGAGUGUAUGAUGCACAUAAUGGAGAAUACUUUACACUCAGAGCUGCAUUAAUGUGGACAAUUAAUGAUUUCCCCGCCUAUGGAAACUUAUCUGGUUGUGUUGUUAAAGGAUAUAAAGCUUGUCCAAUAUGCGGCGAUGAUACACCUAGUCAAACAAAUAUUUUUUGUUGACGACCCGAUGCAUCGUGGUUGGUCGUGUAGGCGUGUGAGUGUGUGUUUGUGUUUGUUUUUGUGUGUGUGUGUGUGUGUGUGUGUGGUGUGUGUGUGUGUGUGUGUACCAUUACUNNNNNNNNNNNNNNNNNNNNNNNNNNNNNNNNNNNNNNNNNNNNNNNNNNNNNNNNNNNNNNNNNNNNNNNNNNNNNNNNNNNNNNNNNNNNNNNNNNNNAUGUAAUUGGCAGUGUAUGACAUUAAUUUUGUAAUAUAUUGUAAUGUGAUUUCUUCACUUUCUACGUUCAAAUAAAACACGACGUUAUUGUGAAUCAGUUAUUCAGCAUAUUUACCGACGUCUUAAAGCAACGUAACAAUGAAGAACCACGACGCUAUUGUGAAGCAAUUAUUCAGGAUAUCACGUCGGUGAAGGAUAAAGAACCGCCAUGUAAUUCAAAAUAACACGACUCCAAUCCCAUAAUACCGACGUCUAAAAAACGAGAUAUGUAAUCUGAACGUUAAAAAAUACGACGUCAUCAUACAUUUUCCACGUCGCAAGUUCUUUUAUAAACGAAGAGGAACGAAAUUAAUUCCGACGGAAAUUCAUUAUAACCGCCGUCUAAUAACAAUUAAACGACGUUAUUUGUAAUACGGCUCCCAUCAUAAUCUACGCCGUCUAUAUGUUCUGUAAUACGGCUCUCAUUUAUUUGGAACCGACGUUGUUUAGACGUUCAACGUCGUCUAUAUUAUUAAGUGCGUCGUGAGUAAUGAAUACAUAUAAAUACAACGUCGACUAUAUAAAUGUAUACGUCGUAAAUAAUGACACUGACAACUAUUUCCACGUCAUCUUUUUUAGAUAAAAUCGAAGUGGAAAAUUUAUUUCACGACGGUUUUUUGUAAAUAAGAGACGUUGUAGAACUUUAGCAGACUAAACACGUCUGUUUUUAUUGUUUUCCGACGUUGUUGUAUUUAACAACGUCUAAUAUUUAUGGUCGUUGUUUGUUUCUGAAAAUAGGACGUAUAAAUUUUUUAAUACGACUCUCAUAUAUUUGUAACUGACGUUGUUUAGUUUUUCAACGUCUACUAUAGAAACACAUACGUCGUAAAUAAUGACACUGACAACUAUUUCCACGUCAUCUUUUAUCAAAAAAUCGAAGUGGAAAAUUAAUUGUACGACGGUUGUGUUUAUAUGUGCGACGUAGUAGGUAUCAAUAACAUCGUCUUCUAAUGUAUUUAAAGACGUCAUAUUUUUUAUUGUCGUGAAAAUUAUAUUUAACGUCGGCGUAUUUUUAUUGUCGUCGUUGUAUGUCUAUCUUGCGGCCUUGUUCUCUUAAUAUGUGUCAUAUUUUCCCUUUUUAACGACGGUCUUUUUAGAGAAUUGGUCGUCUAUUAUCAUCAUCGAUUGCUUUUUUUAGAUCUUUUUGCAGUACAAAGACGUCGUUUUGUAUUUUUUGAUGACGUUGUAUUGUUUAACAACGACGGUUAUUUAGCGUCGUGGUUUAUGAGGGAAAAGAUGACGGUGGAUUCCACGACCAUUGAAAAACCAAAUACACGACGGUGAUUUACCGUCGUCUUUUUGCUUUUUUGUAGUAGUGAUCGGAAACUUGACUAAUUAGAAUACAACAUAUGUCGAAAUAUUUUUAUCAUAAAUGGUCUCUAAGGUUCGUGAAAUUAUUAGCUUUAGUCCUUCAUGUUUUUUUGUGACAUCAUUGGUCCUUUAUGUUACUCCUCUUCACACAUCAAUUUGGUUCUGCCGUUUGGAUUCGUCAAAAUUUAUGUUAAAUUGAUGGCAUGACAUGUAUAUGGUGCCUACAUAUCCAAUGAGAUAAUGACCCGUGGAUCUAAGUAAAAAAUUUGUUUUAAAAAAAUAGUUUCAUAUUUAAAAUUUUUAAAGGGCGAAGACUCAUUGGGUAACUCGAAGUUUGGGUUGUUGAAGCCUUCAAGCAUGGUUUUGCUCACAAAAGAUUGGAACGCAAUGUGUUGGGUUGAGCACUGAAAACCAAAGAAUAUCAAAAAUGUAGUAGGGGGGAGAGAGAGAGAGAGANNNNNNNNNNNNNNNNNNNNNNNNNNNNNNNNNNNNNNNNNNNNNNNNNNNNNNNNNNNNNNNNNNNNNNNNNNNNNNNNNNNNNNNNNNNNNNNNNNNNACCUCAUGUCAGCACUUAAUAGAAAAUUUGACGGACCCUAACGGCAUGGAUCAAAUUGAUGUGUGGUGUGUAACAAAAAGGAUCAAUAAUGUCACAAAAAACAUAAAGGACCAAAGUUGAUAAUUUUGCGAACCUUAUACACCAUUUAUGAUAAAAACCCUAUAUUGUAUAAUUUUAGUGUGUUUUUUUCUUAAAUGCUAUUGAGAAGAGAUUUUAUAAAACUGCUAUAUAAAAGGUUCACCACAAUGCUAUAAAACAAUAGUAGAUUAUGGCUCUCAGAUGUUUUCAUCUUCUUAUUCAUCCAAGCAGAUCGAUAACAUAUGGUCACUACUGACUUUUUCUUGUAGUUCUCAACAUCCAUCUUUCAAGCCAUCAACCAAGUUGUUGCAUUGCUCCUCACUGUUAGAAAAGCCUCGUUUCCCUCCUCCUCCUCCAUUGAUUGAAGGAGAGACAACAAAAGCAACUUAUGAAACAAGCCCCUCAUUUCCUUGUUAAACAUAAAUCGACCCAUUAUUGAUGAGGACUGAGAAUCUAAGAGCACACUAGUAAUUAACCUGAGUGGGGAAUAUGGAUGAUGGAUCUCUCUCUCUCUCUCUCUCUCUUGAAAAAAUCAACUUCAUUAUCCUUGGUGAAUUUGUUCUGAAUUAGUCGUGUCCAGCUACAAGCAAUACUGUACGUAGUAUAUUAUUCUCUGCAUUUGUGCAUGCCAACAACAAACAAAUAUUAUUCUCUAUUAUAGCAUAUAGGCCGUCAUUUUCAAUCCUUAUAAGAGAAAACUUGCUUCGCCAUAAGAGUACGUAGCUUGGCAAGCAAGGUAAGGGUACUUCAAAAGAUUCCUUCCAUCAUCUAUAUAAGACACAUGUGACAUUGCAUGUCUCAUCAAUCAUGUUAAGAUAAAGCUAGCUGGCAAGGCAAAUUACCAACCUUUAUGCUCGAGUAUAUUAUUCCAAGCAGAUAUAAAUGUUAAUAUAUGUGAAGAAUAUUAUGAUCAAUAUAGAAUAUGUAUCAUGAUCAGUUAUGGUAUCGACUGUCAGAAAAUAUCAUCCGCAUAUGUGCAUACCAACAUUAUCGAAAGACAGUAGGAGUAUCGUCAUAUCCGAUACAAGUAUCGGAGCAUGGGUAAGAGUAUAUAUACAAGCAUACCCGUCCAAUUAGGAGAAUCAGUGCAACAUAGAUGAAAAGAAAUUAGAUGUGAUUUCACAUAUUUUUAAAGAAUAGGGGAAAUAAACCAAUUAAUCUCUUUUGUCUUCUCCAUACAUUUUUGGUUGUGAAUUUUGGUUUUCGAAGAAUUUGGCAUUUCAAGCAACUUGGAAAACAUUUUGAUGAUCCAUUGAACCUUGUUAAAGUCGAUAUUCAAUCUCUAUGGACUUUGGCCGAAAUGUCUCAUUUCAAUUGGAAAGUGACAUUGAGAUUUGAAAAGACUAGACAUUAAGGUGGCAAGAGAAGUCUAAAAGGAUCAAACAGAAAAAAAUAAUGAAAAAUUGAAAAUAACCUAGAAAGGGGAGAAAAAAUUAGUUGCAAUAGGGAUAAUAAUGUUUGAGUAAUGCUAAACGAACUCUAAAAUUAACUUAGUACACCCUACUAUCAAACUAUUUAUUGAAUUACUAAUUUACCCUAAUAUAAAAUGACCAAAAAGGAUAUAUUGAAUUGUGCAGCAAAUGUAAUUUUAAUAAGUACACAUUACUCACCAUAUUCAACCCUAAUAUUCGAUGGAGGCGACAUUGAAUGCUAUGAAUCCAACCCAAACCCACCACCACCGUCCCUCUCUCUCUCUCUCUCUCUCUCUCUCUCUCUCUCUCUCUCUCUCUCACAAAUUAUCUUAUUUGCUCUAAAUUUUUUGCAAUGAGUCAGAAUCUUCUAUGUGUAUGUGGCAUUCGUUCAUUAGACUUGGUUAAUGCAUUCAACCCACCCAAAACAAUAAUCAUUUGAUGUUCAUCCUCGAUGUUGGUGGUUUCAAGUGAGCAUGUUCCCAAACGGCUCUUACACUUGCCCACUAGAACUCCAGCUCCUCACCCUCUGAUGAAUCUAAUGACAAUUAUGUUGUUGUUUGCACCAUAAACACCAACUUCCAACAACUCCAAUACAACCUAUUUCUUCUUAAUUAGAUACCUUGGGGGUUGAUAGCAACCUCAAUAGUCUAAGAAACAAACCCACUUCGGAAUUUUCCUUCUUCCACUAGUUGAAGGGAGAUGGGUUCCAACACGAUAUUACGCGCUUAUUAGAAUCUUAUACUCGUCGAGUCUGGGUUGGCUGGUGAUAAGCAGGGGAAGGGUGGAGUUGGGUUGUGUUAGAGAGAGAGAGAGAGAGAGAGAGAGAGAGAGAGAGAGAGAGAAAGAGAAAGAGAGAGAGAAGGGCGGUAGUGGUUGGGUUGGGUUGGAUGCGAAAGGGCUUAAAUCAGAGGAGGAAGGACGGGUUUGGCUGGGUGGGUGACAGGACCCGACCCAAUUUCCGCUUUGGAAUCCGAGCUGAAUCCUGUGCGUGUCCGACACCUGGCGAAUGUCGGGCACGAAUGACCUUUUUACCCUUCUCUUUUCAAAUUCUUUUUUUUUUUAAACUUCCCUUAGACUUCUACCGAAAAUUCGACAGAGUCUCCCCUGUAUUUUGACCAAACCCAAAGUCUUCCACCUGUCAAACAGUCUCAAAUAACACACCAACUACCAGACUAACUCAACCAACAGAUCUCAACUCCAGUUUCUCAUGUUCAACAAGAUAUCAAAGCAUUUCUAUACAAAUUUACAGAACUAUGAGAAAGUUACAACGAGAUCCUACACUUUGGGGGUGGGGCGAAAGCUGGGAAGAUGGCCCGAGUGGUUUCCUUCGUACUUCUAUGGCCUGGGGGCGAAAAACAAGGUUAAAAUUGUGAGUGGACAAAAAUAAAAUUCUUUAAAACAAAAACAAGUUAGAACAUAAUAACCCCCGUUUUGAAAUACUAGGGAUAUAAAUCGUUAAUUUAGCUAUAUUUCAAUAUAAGGAAUUCAAUAAACAUGAAUAAAUAUACUGACGAAUAAACUUGCAUAACUGAUCAAAUAUAUAUAAAGAUAAUAACGCAUGAAUAUCAAGAAACUGGUAUAAAAUCACGGGAAAUCAUAACUGGAUAAAAGAGCUCAAAAUCCUUUGAAACUACCACCUAGAUGUACCCCUGUCAUAUCCGUCAAUUCCCCUGGCAGGUCUCGGGCGUCACGCAGUCUACCCGAGCCGCAAACUGGCGAAAUCAAGGGACUAUGAUCAGCCUGAUCCGCCGGCAGGUCUCGAUGACACCAAGUCGACUCGAGCCGCUCUGGCAGGAUGCAGGGGACCGCAGUCAGCCUGAUCCGCAAUCCUGGCAGGUCUCGGGGACACAGAGUCAGCCGAGCCGCAAAUCCUGGCAGGUCUCGGGACACCAAGUCUGCCGAGCCGCAAAUUCUGGCACUCACGGUCCGAGCGUCCCCGAAACUCGUGAGGCAAAGUCAAGUGCACUGACGUAACUGAAAUCAGACUGGAUGUUCGUAGACAUCGGUCCGACUGUGGGUAAUCACCAUAAAUAGAUGGGUACAUGGUGGUUUAACAAGAAAUUCUGAUAACUCUCUGAAAUCUGAUAAGUCUGAACUAAAUUACUAUCUUUGUAUCAAAAGUCUCAAGUUUACUGCUCAACCAAUAUUAUAAAAAUAAAGAUAUUUCACAAUGCAAAUCAUGCUUCGAAAUUACGUAAUAACACUUAUUCAAGAUCAAAUAGAAAAUAUAAUUAUAAAAUCUUUUAGGAAAGAAAAGUCCACUCACUGUUGGUCCGAGCUAUCUGGACCCUUCGAAGAUCCCUCAUGUGGGUCAACUGGACCUCUGGUGCCUUACUCGAUUGAUUUGGUGGAGAAUUGAAGGAGAACGAAGGAGAUGAAGUUUGGAUGAAAAACAGGCGGAAAUCGCCAGUUUCCGGCCAAUUCCCGGCGGUCCAAGGCCGGCGACGGGUCGAGGAAGGGAGGCGGCGGCGAGGCGGACCGAUUGACACCAACGGCGGAGGUCGCCGUGCCCUGUAGCGACGGCACGCUCGAUCUGAAACAGGGAGGGGGGCGGCGGUUGCGACGGGAGAGAGAGAGAGAGAGGAGAGAGAAAUGAGGAGAGAGAAGAGAGAAGGAAGAGAUAAAAUCUGACUUUUUUUUCAAAUUACCGUUUUGCCCUUCGAGGUAAUUUAAUCGUAUCUUCUUCAUUACAAUUCCAAUUCGGGUCUACUCCGUGUCUACGGACUCGUUUCGCCGUGCUCUACGCAACGGCGCAAGCGAAAUUCUCAAAUUCUUUCUUGAUCAAAAAGUCAAAUUUUCCCCUAUUAAAAUAUGCGAGGGCAAAAUCGUCUUUUGGGUAGAAUAAAGAAAUCCUAAUUUUUAGAUAUUUUAGUUUGGGUUAUUACAGUGGGGGGUGGAGAGAUGAUGGGAGGUCGAUUUAACAGGGUUAAGUGUUGUUAAGUGGUUUACCACAUGUCAAAAAAAUAGAAGGAAAACAUGUCGGGCACAUGGCAUUUGGUAACAGUAAAAUUGGACUCAUGAAUGAGUUAGGUGUUGUGUGAUAGAGUGUAUUAGGGUGUACCAUGGGUAUUUUUAGUAGUUAAAUAGGAUGUACUGAGUUAAUUUUAUAAUUUGAUUUAAAUAUUAGGGUAUACUUAGAUCAUAGGGUGUACUCAGUUAAUUUUAAGGUUUGUUUAGCAACAUUCUAAUGUUUUGUUAUCCCCGGUCAAUAAUUUUAUAUCGUGUGGCUUAGAAGGAGGCCUGUUAUCCAACUCAUCUGGUCCACCGUCCAUGAUAUGAACCCGACUUGAGAAUCUUUUGGUGAAGUAGAACAACCCAACUUGAGAGUUGAGGCAGCCAAACUAGAAGGGAAGCAUCCCCACUCCAGUCCCGCUCCCCAUGUGCCCAAUACUUUGCUUGUUUACUUCACCUUUUAAACCUUUUAGGAUUUUCCAUAGGCUAAGAGGAAAACAACAACAUUACGGCCCAGUUUACGAAUGGAUUCGAGGGGAAAUUACUUCCCAUGCCAUUUUUUAAGGGAUGGAAAAUGGAGAUUCAUUUCCCAUAUUUGAUAAUCCUAGGAAAGUAACUAAGAAAUACUACUUUAUUUCCUUUCACAUAUUUGGUUUGUGUAGGAAUGUAAAACAAAGUUAGUUUAAUUUUUCAAUUAUAUCCAUAUGAAAUUAAAUUUUAAAAAAAAUGUAUUUAAUGCUAUAUUGUUAAUGGGGACAAUAUGGUCAUGAAAAAUGUGUAUUUAAUGUUGGCUAAUUUUCUCAAACUUUCUCAUGUGCAAGACAACGAUUUCUCAUGCCUAGACUUACCAAAUAUGGGAAAGCAAUUGAUUUCUCAUCACCAAGCCUCCUUUCCCAUGAACCAAACAGGACCUACAAGUUAUUAGCUUCAAGCCUUCAAGGAUUUUCAUAACAAAUCUUCCAAUCUCACACAAAAAUAAAAAAGCAUCCAUGUAUGUAAUUUCUAGAUUAAAAUCUCACUUUUUAGGCAUUCCAUUUUCUUAGGAUUAGGUAUUACUACGCACGGACAAUCUUACGAUUAUCUGCAAUUCAUCCUUCAAUAGCUAUGGACGUUAUAUCAAAUCAACAAUAAGACGUACAUUUCUUCAAAGAACUAAAUCAUGCGGAUGUCAACUUGCUCUCACUUAUAUGUUUGUCUCUCCAUAUGAGGAAGGGUGUUUAGCUUAAGGUUUUAGGGCGCGGUUGUCUAAGAACAAUAAGGUGAACAUGUUUUGUCAAAGUACAUGGGAGACCUUUAUCUUCAAACACAAAAAAUGGCCAAAAUUAAAUUAGCAAGGAUCGACAUAUGGAUGUGAGCUUUUACACAUUGCCACUAAUUCUCUCCAUACUUUUGUUGAAAUCAUUUACAAAAUAAGAAAACUUUAGUAAUUGAAGCGAAAGAGAAGAAUUACCAGAACAGAAAAUAAGAAAAAAGAAGCACCUAACCCAAACUUUAAGUCACGAAUUUAACAGUUUACUUUUUAAAAAAAGUAAGUUACAAAACAAUCCCCUUAUUGAUGAGGAUUGAGAAUUUAAGAGCACUAAUAACUUGAGUGAGGAAUAUUGCACAUGGACGAUGGAUCUCUCUCUCUCUCUUUGAAAAAAAAGAAAAAAGAAACAAAAAUCAACUUCAUUAUCCUUAGUGAAUUUGUUCUGGAUUAGUUGUGUUGCAAUGGAACAUCGAACCUACCUAGCUAAAAGGAAAAAAGAAAGGCCACUACGACAGUACUGCAGUAUAUUAUUCCAAGAAGACAAAUGUAAACUAUAUACGUGAAGAAUAUCUAUUAUUGGUCGUCAUUUUCAAUCCUCAUAAAAGAAAACUUACUUCGCCAUAAUUUCAGGUUGUUCUCAAGGCAGGAAGGUAAGGACACUUGAAAAGAUUCCUUCUCAUCAUCUAUACAAGGAAAUGUGUUCUCAUCAAGCUAGGGGACAAGGCAAAUUAGCAACCUUUAUACUCGAUAUAUUAUUCCAAGCAGAUAUACAUGUGAAGAAUAUUAUGAUCUUGAUCAAUAUGGAAUCAGUGGGUGUAUCGAUCGACCAUCCAAAGAAAAAGGAUAUCCUCUGCAUAUAUGUGUGCAUGCCAACAACUAUAAAAGGAGACCAUGAGGCAAUGAGUUGAUCAUCAAAGCAAACACACAGAUAUCCCAACUAAAAAUCAUUCAGUGAGACAAUGGCUGGAACCAAUGAUAUUAAAAUUAAAGGGUUCGAUUUGAGCAAAAACAGCGGCAACACGUCCGGAUUAACCCACUUCGCCAACAGAGCUGACGAGGGCGACAAGGGCGACAAUAAAAUCGAGGUUGAGGAUGCUAAAGCGCAAGAUAACAAGGGAAACUUGAAAGUACUGACCGACUUCGCCCAACGUGGUAAGGUGGGCCAGUCGGAUCGCCAAGAAAUCACGGGGAGCAAGCCACUUCAGACGGCAGCAUGAAAUUGAUGAAGGCCAUACCAUAAUAAAAUAUCUACACUAAAAUAAGAGCUGAUGCAGUAUCUGAGGCUCCUUCCUUGGUUAGGCCUCAUUAUCAUGUGCAAUACUAAUAUUAUUAUUCUAAUAAAAUAAUGGUAGCUUAUUAUUAAAUAUAUCAAAAUUCUAUACGUAUAACUUUUAGAUUAUUGAUACUGAUGACAUACCAACAAGAGAAAACGAUUCAAAAGUCCUUUCUCCAAUUCGUGAUGUUACAAAAUGAGACGUCAAAUUUAAAAAUAUAGUUGCAUACGAGUAUAAACUGAACCAAUAAGCAAUGUAUGAGUGACCAAAGGUCUCAAACGAUGCAUUUAAGAAGAAGGGUACUAAAUUAAAAGAUGUACGCCAGUGAACUAUGGCAAUCUCUCGUUGCAUGCACGCAUAUGCAAUUGAAGAAGACCUAACUUAUAUCACGAAGAAGUGGAUGGGUCUUUACAUAUGAAGUUUUUAAAAUUAACACUACCGGAAGACAAUAGGAGUAUCGGCGUAUCUGAUACAAGUAUCGGAGUCUCGGAGUAUUAGAUUUGAGCAUACCUGUCCAAAUAGGAGUAUCGGUGCAACAUAGAUGAAAAGGAAUUGGAUGUGAUUUCACAUAUUUUUAAAGAACAGGGGAAAUAAACCAAUUAAUCUCUUUCGUCUUGUCCACACAUUUCUUGUUGCAAAUUUUGGUUUUCAAAAAAUUUGGCAUUUCAAGCAACUUGGAAAACAUUUUGAUGAUCCAUUAUUGAACCUCUAAAGUCGAUAUUCAAUCCCUAUCGACCUUGCUCAAAAAAUGUCUCAUUUCAAUUAGUGCAGAGAAAAAUAAAGGCAGAGUUGAAAAUAGAUUUUUCAGUUUGGAAAGUGACAUUGAGAUGUAAAAAGACUAGACAUUAAGGUGGCAAGAGAGAUCUAACAGGAUCAGACAAAAAAGGAAAAAAAAAUGAAUGAAAAAUAGAAAAUGCCCUAGAAAGGGGAGAACAACUUAGUUGCAAUGGGGAUAACAAUAUCUUGCUAUUACUGGUCAAUAAUUUUAUACCACGUGGCCUAGAAGGAGGCCUGUUAGUCCAACUCAUCUGGUCCACUUCCCAUUAUAUGAACCCGACUUGAGAGUUUUGGUUUUUUGGUUGAAGUAGAACAACCCGACUUGAGAAUUGAGGCAGCCAAACUAGAAGGGAAGCAGCCCACUCCACUCCCGCUCCCCAUGUGCCCAGUACUUCGCUUGUUUACUUCACCUUUUAAACCUUUUAGGAUUUUUUUUAUAGGAUAAGAGGAAAACGACGACAUUACAAGUUAUUACGCAUCAACGUAUGUAAUUUCUAGAUUAAAAUCUCACUUUUUACGCAUGUCAUUAUCUUAGGAUUAUGUAUUACUACGCACUGACAAUCUUACGAUUAUCUGCAAUUCAUCCUUCAAUGACCAAAGACGUUAUAUCAAAUCAACAAUAAGACAUACAUUUCUCCAAAUAACUAAAUUAUGUGGAUUUCAACUUGCUCUCAUUUAUAUGUUUGUCUCUCUCCUCCUAUUGAUUAGCCUCUCCAUAAGAGCAAAUAUGAAAAAAGAAGCUCCCAAUCCGAACUUUAAGUCACAAGUUUAACAGUUUACUUUUAAACAAAAGCAAGUUACGAAACAAUCCCCUGAUUUCCUUGUUAAACAUCAACCGACCCAUUAUUGAUGAGGAUUGAGAAUCUAAGAGCAUAUGGACGAUGGAUCUCUCUCUCUUUUUGAAAACAAAAACAAAAACAAAAAACAAAAAUCAACUUCAUUAUCCUUGGUGAAUUUGUUCUGGAUUAGUUGUUUUGAAUUAGUACAGCUUACGUACGCAAUGGAACAUCGAACUUAGCUAGCUAAAAGGAAAAAAGAAAGGCCACUACUACAGUACCGCAGUAUAUUAUUCCAAGAAGACAAAUGUAAACUAUAUACGUGAAGAAUCUCUAGUAUUGGUCGUCAUUUUCAAUCCUUAUAAAAGAAAGCUUGCUUCGCCAUAAUUUCAGGUUGUUCUCAAGGCAGGCAGAGAGAGUACGUAGCUUGGCAAGAAAGGUAAGGGCACUUCAAAAGAUUGUUUCUCAUCAUCUAUAUGAGGAAAUGUGUUGCCAUCAAGCUAGCGGACAAGGCAAAUUAGCAACCUUUAUACUCGAUAUAUUAUUCCAAGCAGAUAUACAUGUAAAUAUAUGUGAAGAAUAUUAUGAUCAUGAUCAAUAUAGAAUCUGUAUCAUGAUCAGAGGGUAUCGAUCCAGCAUCCAAAGAAAAAGGAUAUACUCUGCAUAUGUGCAUGCCAACAACUAUAAAAGGAGACCAUGAGGCAAUGAGUCGAUCAUCAACGGAAACACACAGAUAUCCCAACUAAAAAUCCAUCGUGAGACAAUGGCUGGAACCAAUGAUAUUAAAAUUAAGGGGUUUGAUUUGAGCAACAACAAAGGCAACACGUCGGGAUUAACCCACUUCGCCAACAGAGCUGACGGGGGCGACAAUGGCAACAAUAAAAUCGAGGUUGAGGAUGCUAAAGGGCAAGGGAACACGGGAAACUUGAAAGUACUGACCGACUUCGCCCAACGCGGUAAAGUGGGCCAGUCGGAUCGCCAAGAACUACUCAAACCUCAGGCAUGAAAUUGAAGAAGGCCAGACCACAACAACUUGUCUGCUUGAUAGAUAUAUGUGCUAAAUUAUCUACACAAAAAUAAGAGCUGAUGUUUUAUCUGAGGCUCCUUCCUUGGUUAGGCCUCGUUAUCAUGUGUAAUAUUAAUAUUAUUAUUCUAAUAAAAUAAUGGUAGCUUAUUAUUAAAUAUAUCAAAAUUCUAUACGUAUAACUUUUAGAUUAUUGAUACUGAUGUCAACAAGAGAAAAUGAUUAAAAAGUCCUUUCUCCAAUUCGUGAUGUUACAAAAUGAGACUUCAAAUUUUAAAACUAUAGUUGCAUACGAGUACAAAACUGAACCAAACAAUGUAUGGGCCAGAGUGACCAAGGAUGUACGCCAGUGAACUAAUGGCAAUCUCUCGUUGCAUGCACGCAUAUGCAAUUGAAGGAGGCAUUAUCUGAGGCUCCUUCCUUGGCUAGGCCUCAUUUUCAAUUUUGAUUUCAACUUUGAUUUUGCUUAAACUUUGAUUUUGAGCUAGACUGUGAUUUCGACUUUGAUCUCCCAAUUCGUGCCUUAAGAAUCAGUUUCUCCCAACUCUAUUUACCAAAACCGAAAACUCUGAACUUUUCAAUUCGUCUGGCUACUCUCAGGGUUUCAUGCCUUAGUUUCCUCUCGCCAAAAAGCCAAAAAGACUUGGCUUUCAUGUAAUGCUAUACUCCUCGAUUGAACAAGCCGCGUCUUCAAAUUCAGCUUUCUCACUUCCUUUCUCUUUACUUUCUUUCUUUUGUUUUCCGGCUGGGAAAAUCAUGGAAGCAUUACAAAUUUAAGAGAAUAUUCUAGUAUUAGGGUCCAAACUGUACUAUUUAGGUAUUUUCAUUCUGAUUAAGAGUUCUUUUCUAGAAAUUUGGGGAAGAAAAAAUAGAGUUUCUGUUUUAGUGUUUGAUUUUCAUUACAGUGAAUUAUGUGAAACCGAAAUGUUUCUUGUCUGAUUUCAUCACUGCUUUCAAAUUGCAAAUUAAGGAUUUGAAGGUUAACAAUGCCCGUCUUUAACAAUGUCGCAUUUCAAUUAGUACAAAAGAAAAAUAAAGGCAUAGUUGAAAAUAGAUUUUUCAGUUUCGAAAGUGACAUUGAGAUUUAAAAAGACUAGACAUUAAGAUGGCAAGAGAGAUCUAAAAGGAUCAAACAAAAAAAGUGAAUGAAAAAUUGAAAAUGCCCUAGAAAGGGAGGAAAUCUUAGUUGCAAUGGGGAUAACAAUGUUUUGCUAUCCUCGAACAAUAAUUUUACACCACGUGACCUAGAAGGAGGCAUGUUAAUCUAACUCAUCUGGUCCACCGUCCAUGAUAUGAACCCGACUUGUGAGUUUUUUUUUUUUUUUGUUGAAGUAGAACAACCAAACUUGAGAGUUGAUGUCACAUCUCAGGAUCGGCUUCACCGUAGCACGAUAUUGUCUGCUUUGGGCCCCCUCGCUGUCCUCGCGGUUUUGUUUCUAGGAGCUCACGAGCAACUUCUCAGUUGGUCACUCAUCUUAGGAUUGCUCUGGCCCAAACUCACUUAACUUCGGAGUUCUCAUGACUCCGAAGCUAGUGAGCUCCUAAAAGGCCUCGUACUAAAUGGAAGUGGGCAUAUAUAUAUAAGGCACAACACCCCAUCUUCGUUGGUUGAUGUGGAAUGUUACAAUCCACCCCCCUUAGAGGUCUGACUUCCUCGUCGGCACACUCUCACCACACGGCAGAGUGGCUCUGAUACCAAACUGUCACAUCCCGGGAACGGCUCCGUCGUAGCACGAUAUUGUCCGCAUUGGGCCAACCUUUCUGCCCUCACGGUUUUGUUACUGGGAGCUCACGAGCAACUUCCCAGUGAAUCACUCAUCCUGGGAUUGCUCUAGCCCAAACUCGCUUCACUUCGGAGUUCCUAUGACUCCGAAGCCAAUUAGCUCCCAAAAGACCUCGUGCUAGAUAAAGGUGGGCACGUACAUAUAAGGCACAUCACCUUCUCUUCGUUGAUCGAUGUGGGAUGUUACAGUUGAGGGCUCCGUUGGUCGAUGUAGGAUGUUACAGUUGAGGCAGCCAAACUAGAAGGGAAGCAACCCAACUCCACUCCCUCUCCCCAUGUGCCCAGUUCUCUGCUCGUUUACUUCACCUUUUAAACAUUUUAGGAUUUUCCAUAAGCAAAGAGGAGAACGACCACAUUACGGUCUCGUUUGGUUCACGAACAGAUUUAAGGGGAAAUAACUUCUCAUGUCAUUUCUCAAGGGAUGAGAAAUGGAGAUUCAUUUCCCAUAUUUGGUAAUCCUAGGAAAAUAACAAAGAAAUACCACUUUAUUUCCUUUCACAUGUUUGGUUUGUCUAGGAAUGUAAAACAAAGUUUGUUUAAUUUUCCAAUUAUACCGAUAUGAAAUCAAAUAAAAAAAGAAUAUUUAAUGUUAUAUUGUAAUUCUAAACUGUUAAUAGGGACAAUAUGAUCAUGAAAAAUGUGUAUUUAAUGUUGGCUCAUUUGCUUAUUUUCCCAAACUUUCACAUGAGGAGGAAAACAAAACCCAAGGGGGGAGGAUGGCUUCACUUUCCCCUCUACUUUCCCAUGUACAAGGCAACGAUUUCUCAAGUCUGGACUUACCAUACAUGGGAAAGAAAUUAAUUUCUCAUCCCCAAGUCAUUUUUCCCAUAAACCAAACGGAGCCUACAGGUUAUAAGCUUCAACCUUUAAGGAUUUUCAUAACAAAUCUUGCAAUCUCAUACCAAGGAAAUAAAAAUAAAAAAAAGGAUCCAUGCGUGUAAUUUCUAGAUUAAAAUCUCACUUUUUACGCAUGCCAUUAUCUAAGGAUUAGGUAUGACUACACACGAACAAUCUUACAAUUAUCUGCAAUUCGUCCUUCAAUGGCCAAAGACGUUAUAUCAAAUGAACAAUAAGACGUACAUUUCUUCAAAGAACUAAAUUAUGUGGAUUUCAACUUGCUCUCACUUAUAUGUUUCUCUCUCUCCUCCUAUUGUUUAGCUUAAGGUUUUAGGGCGUGGUUGUCUAAGAACAAUAAGGUAAACAUGCUUACAAAAAAAGAUGGACAGCAAGGAUGGACAUAUGCGAAUGUGAGCUUUUACACAUUGCCACUAAUUUUCUCCAUGAUUUUGUUGAAAUCAUUAACAAAAUAAGAAACUUUAGUAAUUGAAGCGAAAGAGACUAAUUAUCAGAAGAGAAAAUAUGAAAAAAGAAGCUCCCAAUCCAAACUUUAAGUCACAAGUUUAACAGUUUACUUUAAAACAAAAGCAAGUUACGAAACAAUCCCCUGAUUUCCUUGUUAAACAUCAACCGACCCAUUAUUGAUGAGGAUUGAGAAUCUAAGAGCAUAUGGACGAUGGAUCUCUCUCUCUUUUUGAAAACAAAAACAAAAACAAAAAUCAACUUCAUUAUCCUUAGUGAAUUUGUUCGGGAUUAGUUGUGUUGAAUUAGUACAGCUUACUUACGCAAUCGAAUAUCAAACCUAGCUAGCUAAAAAGAGAAAAAGAAAGGCCACAACGACAGUACUGUAGUAUACGUGAAGAAUCUUAUGAUCUAUAAUAUUCUGUAUUAUUGGCCAUCAUUUUCAAUCCUUAUUAAAGAAAACUUGCUUCGCCAUAAUUUCAAGUUGUUCUGAAGGCAGGCAUAGAGAGCACGUAGCUUGGCAAGGGAGGUAAGGGCACUUCGAAAGAUUCCUUCUCAUCAUCUAUACAAGGAAAUGUGUUCUCAUCAAGCUACGGGACAAGGCAAAUUAGCAACCUUUAUACUCAGAUAUAUUAUUCCAAGCAGAUAAACAUGUAAAUAUAUGUGAAGAAUAUUAUGAUAAUGAUCAAUAUAGAAUCUGUAACAUUAUCAGAGGGGUAUCGAUCGACCAUCCAAAGAAAAGGAUAUCCUCUGCAUAUGUGCAUGCCAACAACUAUAAAAGGAGACCAUGAGGCAAUGAAUCAUCAAAGCAAAGACACAGAUAUCCCAACUAAAAAUCAAUCAGUGAGACAAUGGCUGGAACUGGAACCAAUGAUAUUAAAAUUAAAGGGUUCGAUUUGAGCAACAACAGCGGCAACACGUCGGGAUUAACCCACUUCGCCAACAGAGCUGAUGGGGGCGACAAGGGCGACAAUAAAAUCGAGGUUGAGGGUGCUAAAGCGCAAGAUAACAAGGGAAACUUGAAAGUACUUACCGAUUUCGCCCAACGCGGUGAAGUGGGCAGGUCGGAUCGCCAAGAACUUCUCAAGCCUCAGGCAUGAAAUUGAAGAAGGCCAUACCAUAUAUGUGCUGAAUUAUCUACACAAAAAUAAGAGCUGAUGUUUUAUCUGAGGCUCCUUCCUUGGUUAGGCCUCGUUAUCAUGUGUAAUAUUAAUAUUAUUAUUCUAAUAAAAUAAUGGCAGCUUAUUAUUAAAUAUAUCAAAAUUCUAUACGUAUAACUUUUAGAUUCUUGAGUGGGAAACCCUAGCUGCAUUCUGGUCCCUUUUCUUCUUGCCGACAACCAACCACAAGGAAACUAAAGGGGGAGGUGGCCACUGCCCCUCCCCCCCUUCGCCCAUCUUCCCUUUCUCUCCUCAUCUUCCCUUCUUUUUCUCCCAUCUUUUCCCUUCCUCUUAUGCCCUCUUCUCUUCCCAUUCCCUUUCCCAUAUAGUCUAGAUCUAUUUGGAUCUAGGUUUUGUUUGUUUGUUUGUUUGGUUUGGUUUGGUUGUUUUUGCAGUAUUCUAGGUGACUGGUAGUGACGUUGGAUUGUGUCUAUUAUCGGGAGAGUUGUGAUACCUAGUGGCUGAUGUUUUGUCUCUGUUUCAACGACGGCGGCAGUAGCGACACUAGUGAUAGUUAUUGGAUGUGGUGCUCUUCUUUAUUCUGCACUUACCGAAGAACUAUGCUUGGUCAUAGGAGGUUUUCUUUGUCAGAUUCUGAGUUGAAGUGGAGUGCUUCUUAGGGGUCCUUUUAUUGUUGCUUCUAUGUUCCUCCUCUGUGUUCUCUCCUGUUUUCUGUUAUGGUAUGCCUUGUAGUUUGUAUGGGUGUCAAAAUACUAUGAUUUUGCUCAUAGAAGGCUUCUUUUGACAGUUGGGAUAUUCUACGAUCCUCUUCUGUGGGUUUACUAUUUGGGGUUUCUGUCGUUCUCUCAUGUGGGUGUACUAUGUUGGUAUCUAGUUGAGGUUUUCGUCGGAGUUCUUUUUGUUAGUUUUCGUUUUUGAUUUGUUCUUUUAUUGUAAUGGUCCAAAGCGACCAGAAUUAAACUCUCUUGUUAGUCCAUGACAUGUGUGGUACUCUUUUCUCCCCGGGGUUUGUCCCUUGAGAUUGCCCUAGGAAGGUUUUAACGAGGCCACUAUAUCAUGUUGCUCAUUGUACGUCUUUGGUUCUAUUAAUUAAUUCUCUUUCUUAAAAAUAACAAAAAUAAAUAAAUAAAUAAAUAAAAAUUUAGAUUAUUGAUAACGAUGUCAACAAGAGAAAAUGAUUAAAAAGUCCUUUCUCCAAUUCGUGAUGUUACAAAAUGAGACUUCAAAUUGUAAAACUAUAGUUGGAUACGAGUAUAAAACUGAACCAGGCAAUGUAUGGGCCAGAGUGACCAAGGUUGUACGACAGUGAACUAAUGGCAAUUUCUCGUUGCAUGCACGCAUAUGCAAUUGAAGAAUGCCAUAAUAAUAUGUGUUUUUACUAAAUUAUCUACACUAAAAUAAAAACUGAGGCAUUAUCUGAGGCUCUUUCCUUGGCUAGGCCUCAUUUUCAAUUUUGAUUUCAACUUUGAUUUCGCUUAAACUUUGAUUUUGAGCUAGACUGUAAUUUCGACUUUGAUUCUGAUUCUCUCCCAAUUCAUGCCUUAAGAAUCAGUUUCUCCCAACUCUAUUUACCAAAACCAAAAACUCUAAACUUUUCAAUUCGUCUGGGUACUCUCAGAGUUUCAUGCCCUAGUUUCCUCUCGCCAAAAAGCCAAAAAGACUUGGCUUUCAUGUAAUGCUAUACUCCUCGAUUGAACAAGCUGCGUCUUCAAAUUCAACUUUCUCACUUCCCUUCUCUUUACUUUCUUUUCUUUUGUUUUCCAGCCCGGAAAAUCAUGGAAGCAUUACAAAUUUAAGAGAAUAUUCUAGUAUUAGGGUCCAAACUGUACUAUUUAGGUAUUUUCAUUCUGAUUAAGAGUUCUUUUCUAGAAAUUUGGUGAAGAAAAAAUAGAGUUUCUGUUUUAGUGUUUGAUUUUCAUUAUAGUGAGUUAUGUGAAAUCGAAAUGUUUCUUGUGUGAUUUCAUCACUGCUUUCAAAUUGCAAAUUAAGGAUUUGAAGGUUACAAAUUAUUAUGUAGAUAAUUUUUGGGAAUUUAAGAGGCAGUACAGUGUUUGUAUAAGUCUUGAGAUAGACCAAUUUACCACAUGCUCGAUUUCUAUAUAUAAAUUUUUUUAAAUCAUUCUUUUGUUUUAUUUAUUCUGUUAAUUUGUCAUAAUGUGUAAUAUGAUAGCUUCUAAUUCUUUCUUCCUAUUUCUUCUUUUUUGUUAUUCUCUCCCAAAUGAAAUGAAGACCUAACUUAUAUCAAGAAGAAGAGGAUGGAUCCUUACAUAUGAAGAUUUUAAAAUUAACAUUAUUGGAAGACAGUAGGAGUAUCGGCAAUUUGAUACAAGUAUCGGAGUAUCAAAUACGAGCAUGCCCGUCUUUAACAAUGUCUCAUUUCAAUUAGUACAAAAGAAAAAUAAAGGCAGAGUUCAAAAUAGAUUGUUCAGUUUCGAAAGUGACAUUGAGAUUUAAAAAGACUAGACAUUAAGAUGGCAAGAGAGAUCUAAAAGGAUCAAACAAAAAAAAUGAAUGAAAAAUUGAAAAUGCCCUAGAAAGGGAGGAAAUCUUAGUUGCAAUGGGGAUAACAGUAUUUUGCUAUCCUCGAUCAAUAAUUUUAUACCACGUGACCUAAGGAGGCAUGUCAAUCUAGCUCAUCUGGUCCACCGUCCAUGAUAUGAACUCGACUUGAGAGUUUUUUUUUUUUUUUUUUUUUUUUUUUGGGGUUGAAGUAGAACAACUAGACUUGAGAGUUGAUGUCACAUCUCAAGGUCGGUUCCACCGUAGCACGAUAUUGUCUGCUUUGGGCCCCCUCUUUGUCCUCGCGGUUUUGUUUUUAGGAGCUCACGAGCAACUUCCCAGUUGGUCACCCAUCUUGGGAUUGCUCUAGCCCAAACUCACUUAACUUCGGAGUUCUCAUGACUUCGAAAUCAGUGAGCUCCCAAAAGGCCUCGUGCUAAAAGGAGGUGGGCAUAUACAUAUAAGGCGCAACACCCCCUCUCCGUUAGUCGAUGUGGAAUGUUACAAUCCACCCCCUUUAGAGGUCCGACGUCCUCGUCGGCACAGUCUCACCACACGGCAGAGUGGCUCUAUGCCAAAUUGUCGCAUUCCGGGAUCGGCUCCGUCGUAACACGAUAUUGUCCGCGUUGGGUCAACCUCUCUGCCCUCACGAUUUUGUUUCUGGGAGCUUACGAGCAACUUCCCAGUAGAUCACUCAUCCAAACUCGCUUAACUUCGGAGUUCCCAUGACUCCGAAGCCAGUGAGCUCCCAAAAGACCUCGUGCUAAAUGGAGGUAGGCAUGUACAUAUAAGGCACAUCACCUCCGCUCCGUUGGUCGAUGUGGGAUGUUACAGUUGAGGGCUCCGUUGGUCGAUGUACGAUGUUACAGUUGAGGGCUCCGUUGGUCGAUGUAGGAUGUUAUAGUUGAGGCAGCCAAAAUAGAAGGGAAGCAACCCUACUCCACUCCCUCUCCCCAUGUGCCCAGUUCUCUACUCGUUUACUUCACCUUUUAAACCCCUUCGUACUUGAAGACCUGGCUGGCAAUUUGAUUGAAGCGAAAGAGACUAAUUAUCCAUGCUUUUGUUGAAAUCAUUAACAAAAUAAGAAACUUUAGUAAUUGAAGCGAAAGAGACUAAUUAUCAAAACAGAAAAUAUGAAAAAAGAAGCUCCCAAUCCGAACUUUAAGUCACAAGUUUAACAGUUUACUUUAAAACAAAAGCAAGUUACGAAACAAUCCCCUUAUUUACUUGUUAAACAUCAACCGACCCAUUAUUGAUGAGGAUUGAGAAUCUAAGAGCACAUGGACGAUGGAUCUCUCUCCCUUUUUGAAAACAAAAACAAAAACCAACUUCAUUAUCCUUAGUGAAUUUGUUCUGGAUUAGUUGUGUUGCAAUGGAACAUCGAACCUACCUAGCUAAAAGGAAAAAAGAAAGGCCACUACGACAGUACUGCAGUAUAUUAUUCCAAGAAGACAAAUGUAGACUAUAUACGUGAAGAAUAUCUAGUAUUGGUCGUCAUUUUCAAUCCUCAUAAAAGAAAACUUACUUCGCCAUAAUUUCAGGUUGUUCUCAAGGCAGGAAGGUAAGGACACUUGAAAAGAUUCCUUCUCAUCAUCUAUAUAAGGAAAUGUGUUCUCAUCAAGCUAGGGGACAAGGCAAAUUAGCAACCUUUAUACUCGAUAUAUUAUUCCAAGCAGAUAUACAUGUGAAGAAUAUUAUGAUCUUGAUCAAUAUGGAAUCUGUAUCAUGAUCAGUGGAUGUAUCGAUCGACCAUCCAAAGAAAAAGGAUAUCCUCUGCAUAUAUGUGUGCAUGCCAACAACUAUAAAAGGAGACCAUGAGGCAAUGAGUUGAUCAUCAAAGCAAACACACAGAAAUCCCAACUAAAAAUCAAUCAGUGAGACAAUGGCUGGAACUGGAACCAAUGAUAUUAAAAUUAAAGGGUUCGAUGUGAGCAACAACAGCGGCAACACGUCGGGAUUAACCCACUUCGCCAACAGAGCUGCCGAGGGCGACAAGGGCGACAAUAAAAUCGAGGUUGAGGAUGCUAAAGGGCAAGGGAACACGGGAAACUUGAAAGUACUGACCGACUUCGCCCAACGCGGUAAAGUGGGCCAGUCGGAUCGCCAAGAACUUGUCAAACCUCAGGCAUGAAAUUGAAGAAGGCCAUACCAUAACCACUUGUCUGCUUGAUAGAUAUAUGUGCUAAAUUAUCUACACAAAAAUAAGAGCUGAUGUUUUAUCUGAGGCUCCUUCCUUGGUUAGGCCUCGUUAUCAUGUGUAAUAUUAAUAUUAUUAUUCUAAUAAAAUAAUGGUAGCUUAUUAUUAAAUAUACCCAAAUACUAUACGUAUAACUUUUAGAUUAUUGAUACUGGUGUCAACAAGAGAAAAUGAUUAAAAAGUCCUUUCUCGCAUUCGUGAUGUUAGAA